UCGCGAGCAGGACAUGGAGCAACGCCUCUAAAGAGCUCGGCGCGGACUGGCGCGCGAGCCGGUGCCCGGCCUGUGAUCAGCACAGCGCUUGCUGAUGGUUAUGGACCACGUCGAGUGUGAUCAUACUUCCUGUGUGUGACUUCCUCUCCCCUCCCUCGGAGGAGCCGCACAGGCAGGCAUCACUAUGACCCCAUUUCACGGAUGAGGAGACACCAAACCGUUUGACAAAGUGGAUGCAGGGUUUGCACCCCAGCAGCAUUGCAGGAAAGUUCCAAUUGUUCCACGUCCUUGCCAACAGCUGAGAGAAACCACAUUGCGAAGUGAUGGCUUACAAAAUCACAGAGCGGAAGUUAAUGGUGAAACACAUCCAAACGACUCCUGCAGAAUUCCCAAGUUCAGACAGUACAAAGAUCUCUCCGUCGAGCACUUGUGCGCAGAAGCUAAGCUCUGGGCCGCAUGGAGGGAGCCUGAAGCCGAGAAAUAAUAAAAUAGUAAUAGCUGCCAUUCGUUGAAGCUGCGCCCUGUGCCUCCGCUAAGCCCCUUUCCUGCACUUUCCCAUUUAUUCCUUAAGGAAGGUGCGAUUGUUAUAGAAAAGGAAAAUGCGGGUACAGCUGUCCAGACAAACUGCCCACUGCUGCGCGGCCACUAGAGCCCAACAGAUGGGGCGCGAUGCUCUUUUUCUUCCUGAGAGGUGCCACAAGUCACCGUGCGUAUUUUCCACUUAGAAGCCCCUUCAGUAAGUUUUCUGGAAAUCUAAAAAGCGUAGUUAACAUCCACUCAGCAGGGAGCUUUUUAAUCUCAUAAAUACGUUCAAUGCGCCAAAACAAGCAAAUGAAAUAAACCAGACUCACAGCUUGCCCCAGCACCUUACCACUUAGAUACAGAGAAACAAAUAAAGAACUA